rnacentral:rRNA from 1 species
UACGUAGGGUGCAAGCGUUGUCCGGAAUUAUUGGGCGUAAAGAGCUCGUAGACGGUUUGUCGCGUCUGCUGUGAAAUCCCGAGGCUCAACCUCGGGCCUGCAGUGGGUACGGGCAGACUAGAGUGCGGUAGGGGAGAUUGGAAUUCCUGGUGUAGCGGUGGAAUGCGCAGAUAUCAGGAGGAACACCGAUGGCGAAGGCAGAUCUCUGGGCCGUAACUGACGCUGAGGAGCGAAAAGCGUGGGGAGCGAACAGG